rnacentral:lncRNA from 1 species
UACAGCUGCCGGCCACAGCAAUGUCAGAUCUGAGCCAAGUCUUUGACCUAGACUGCAGCUCACGGCAGGCAAUUCUGGAUCCUUAACCCUCUGAACAAGGCCAGGGAUUGAAUCUGAGUCCUCAUGGAUACUAGUCAGAUUCAUUUCCACUGUGCCACAAUAGGAACUCCCUGCAAAUAGUUUUAAUGACUUUUAAUGUUUAUCAUUAUUAAUGUUUUUGUGCUGUAUAGGAGCUUUAAUUUUUAUGUAAUCAUAUUUAUAAAGUUUUCUUUAGUUUUCUUACUGUUAGGUCUAGGAAGCUUUUCCCAAUCAAAUAUUUUCUUUUCUUUUAAAGCUAUAGCUAUUUAAAAUUUUUAUAUGCUUAGAAUUUAUUUUGUUAUAAAAAGUGAGAUAGAGAACUGGCUUCUUUAAAAAAAAAAACAAAACGAAAGUGAAGUCAGUUUUCUUUCCAUCAUCUUUCACUUUUUUUUUUCCCUCAAAUUUCUUCACAUUCUAUGUCCCCUUACCUACUUGGGUCUAUUAGUAUAUCCUCUAUUACAGCACAUUCCAAAUAGCAUUCUUUGGAAGAUAUUUUUAGGAGUUCUCUUUAGAAAGAUGUCAUGGGCAUGUAAGUUUGGGAAAUCUAAGGUUAUAUAAGUUUAAACAAGUGUCUAUGUAAAACUCUCAGUUUCUUCAAUAAGCAAAAGUGGAUUGUAAAUCACUAAGAGUUGAAGAAAGGUAGUAUUUUUAUGAGUAUUUGGCCCAUUGAUAACUUUUUAAGAAGCAUUUCAGUUGUACAUAUUUUGAGAAAAUUGAUCUUUUUAUUGAUCUGUCUAUACUUAUGCCAGUGUCACAGCCUUUAAUUUCAUGUGCCUCUAUAUUUCAUCAUUUUAUAAUGUACCUAUAUAUUUCAACAUUUUAUGUUUUUAAUCACUAGUGUCUUUUUUCAGAAUAUGAAAAAUUUCUCAAAAAGGUUGCAUUUCUCUCAUGGAAUGGACAUUUUCUUUGUACUUCUGAAUGAUAGACUUUGUCUAAUGUUUCCCUUUCUUUGUUUGCCUCAAUGACUAGUAUCCAUGAGGAUGCAGGUUUGAUCCCCAGUCUCACUCAGUGGAUCAAGGAUCUGCCGUUGGUGUGAGCUGUGGUGUAGGUUUCAGAUGCAGCUCAGAUCCCACUUUGUUGUGGCUGUGGCAUAAGCCGGCAGCUGUAUCUCCAGUUAGACCCCUAGCCUGGGAGCCUGGCAACUUCCAUAUGCCCCAAGUGUGGCCCUAAAAAGAAAAAAUUAGAACGUACAACUGAAAUCAUUAAUCUUUGGCCAGUUUAGGAAAUGUUUUUUUUUUUAAAGUAUUUUCAUAGAAAAGUAGAUAUUUUA